rnacentral:rRNA from 1 species
UACGGGGGGGAGCAAGCGUUGUUCGGAUUUACUGGGCGUAAAGGGCGCGUAGGCGGUCAGCACAAGUCAGUUGUGAAAUCUCCGGGCUUAACUCGGAAAGGUCAACUGAUACUGUGCGACUAGAGUGCAGAAGGGGCAACUGGAAUUCUCGGGUGUAGCGGUGAAAUGCGUAGAUAUCGAGAGGAACACCUGCGGCGAAGGCGGGUUGCUGGGCUGACACUGACGCUGAUGCGCGAAAGCCAGGGGAGCGAACGGG